CUAUCACACAUGAAACACAGCCUGACUGUAAACACAACACACAAAAAUAGCCCUGCUUACACACAUUUCAAGCAACUUCCCCUCAGACAUAUGCGGCCAAACACAGACAUACACGUGCUCAAAGACACAGAGACACAUAUUCACAAACAAUGAUGCUCUGGGUCAUGCACAGGUACACAGUGCCAGAGGCACAGACACAUU